UACGUAGGUGGCAAGCGUUGUCCGGAGUUAUUGGGCGUAAAGCGCGCGCAGGCGGUUCGCAAAGUCCAUGGUGAAAGCGCCCGGCUCAACUGGGCGAGUGCCGUGGGGACUGGCGAGCUGGAGGGGAGCAGAGGCGAGUGGAAUUCCGGGUGUAGUGGUGAAAUGCGUAGAGAUCCGGAGGAACACCAGUGGCGAAGGCGGCUCGCUGGGCUUUACCUGACGCUGAGGCGCGAAAGCGUGGGGAGCGAGCCGG
rnacentral:rRNA from 1 species